GAUGAACGCUAGCGGCAGGCCUAAUACAUGCAAGUCGAGGGUGAAUGUUGGAUUCGUCUGACAUGAAACCGGCGCACGGGUGCGUAACACGUAUGCAACCUACCUUUAACUGGGGUAUAGCUCAGAGAAAUCUGAAUUAAUCCCCCAUAAGACUACGACAUGGCAUCAUGAUGUAGUUAAAGCUCCGGCGGUUAAGGAUGGGCAUGCGGUACAUUAGCUAGUUGGUGAGGUAAUGGCUCACCAAGGCUACGAUGUAUAGGGGGUCUGAGAGGAUGAUCCCCCACACUGGUACUGGGACACGGACCAGACUCCUACGGGAGGCAGCAGUAGGGAAGAUUGGUCAAUGGACGCAAGUCUGAACCAGCCAUGCCGCGUGAAGGAUGAAGGCCCUAUGGGUCGUAAACUUCUUUUAUCAGGGAAGAAAAAACGGGAUGCGUCCUGUACUGAUGGUACUUAAUGAAUAAGGAUCGGCUAACUUCGUGCCAGCCGCCGCGGUAA
rnacentral:rRNA from 1 species